rnacentral:rRNA from 1 species
GACGAACGCUGGCGGCGUGCCUAAUACAUGCAAGUCGAACGCAGUGGGGACGGGUGAGUAACACGUGGGUAACCUCCCAUCAGAGCGGAUAACACUUGGAAACAGGUGCUAAACCGAUACUGAUGGAUGAACCCGCGGUGCAUUAGCUAGUUGGUGAGGUAACGCCUCACCAAGGCCAAGAUGCAUAGCCGACCUGAGAGGGUGAUCGGCCACACUGGGACUGAGACACGGCCCAGACUCCUACGGGAGGCAGCAGUAGGGAAUCUUGGGCAAUGGACGAAAGUCUGACCGAGCAACGCCGCGUGAGUGAAGAAGGUUUUCGGAUCGUAAAGCUCUGUUGGUAGAGAAGCGUUAUCUAAACAGAAAGCCACGGCUAACUACGUGCCAGCAGCCGCGGUAAUUC